rnacentral:rRNA from 1 species
GCGCAGCAGUCGAGAAUUUUUCUCAAUGGGCGAAAGCCUGAAGGAGCGACGCCGCGUGGGGGAUGAAUGGCUUCGGCCCGUAAACCCCUGUCAUUUGUGAACAAAUUGCUUCACCUAACACGUGAAGCAUUGAUUGUAACGGAAGAGGAAGGGACGGCUAACUCUGUGCCAGCAGCCGCGGUAAUACAGAGGUCCCAAGCGUUGUUCGGAUUCACUGGGCGUAAAGGGUGCGUAGGCGGUUUGAUAAGUCUGAUGUGAAAUCCCGCAGCUUAACUGCGGAACUGCAUUGGAAACUGUUUGACUAGAGGAAUGGAGGGGAGACUGGAAUACUUGGUGUAGCAGUGAAAUGCGUAGAUAUCAAGUGGAACACCAGUGGCGAAGGCGAGUCUCUGGACAUUUCCUGACGCUGAGGUACGAAAGCCAGGGGAGCAAACGGGAUUAGAUACCCGUGUAGU